GACGAACGCUGGCGGCGUGCCUAAAACAUGCAAGUCGAACGGUGUAGCAAUACACAGUGGCGAACGGCGGAGUAAUACAUAAGCAACGUGCCCUGAAGACUGGGAUAGUCAGAGGAAACUCUGGGUAAUACCGGAUGUGGCCAUCACGAGGCAUCUCGAGAUGAUUAAAUGGUUUUUCGCUUCAGGAGCGGCUUAUGGCCUAUCAGGUAGUUGGUGAGGUAAUGGCUCACCAAGCCGACGGCGGGUAGCGGGUCUGAGAGGAUGAUCCGCUCGAGUGGGACUGAGACGCGGCCCACACACCUACGGGUGGCAGCAGUUGGGAAUCUUGCACAAUGGGGGAAACCCUGAUGCAGCGACGCCGCGUGGAGGAUGACGGAUUUAGGUCUGUAAACUCCUGUUUCAGGGAAAGACUUAGGACGGUACCCUGAGAAUAAGGACCGGCUAACUACGUGCCA
rnacentral:rRNA from 1 species